GGGGGUAUAGCUCAGUGGUAGAGCAUUUGACUGCAGAUCAAGAGGUCCCCAGUUCAAAUCUGGGUGCCAUCA
rnacentral:tRNA from 1 species